GCCUGGUGUGGUGGCGCUCACCUGCAGUCCCAGCUACUCAGGAGGCUGAGGUGGGAGGACUGCUUGAGCCCAGGAGUUAGAGGCUGCAGUGAGCUGUGAUCACACCACUGCACUCCAGCCUGGGCAACAGAGUAAGACCCUAUCUCUU
ensembl:misc_RNA Metazoa_SRP Metazoan signal recognition particle RNA